rnacentral:rRNA from 1 species
GACGAACGCUGGCGGCGUGCCUAAUACAUGCAAGUUGAGCGCUGAAGGUUGGUACUUGUACCGACUGGAUGAGCAGCGAACGGGUGAGUAACGCGUGGGGAAUCUGCCUUUGAGCGGGGGACAACAUUUGGAAACGAAUGCUAAUACCGCAUAAAAACUUUAAACACAAGUUUUAAGUUUGAAAGAUUCAAUUGCAUCACUCAAAGAUGAUCCCGCGUUGUAUUAGCUAGUUGGUGAGGUAAAGGCUCACCAAGUCGAUGAUACAUAGCCGACCUGAGAGGGUGAUCGGCCACAUUGGGACUGAGACACGGCCCAAACUCCUACGGGAGGCAGCAGUAGGGAAUCUUCGGCAAUGGACGAAAGUCUGGCCGAGCAGCGCCGCGUGAGUGAAGAAGGUUUUCGGAUCGUAAAACUCUGUUGGUAGAGAAGAACGUUGGUGAGAGUGGAAAGCUCAUCAAGUGACGGUAACUACCCAGAAAGGGACGGCUAACUACGUGCCAGCAGCCGCGGUAA